UUACAAGCUGGUCUCCAGGAAGGCCUAGAGUGAAACCACCACAGGGACUGAACCUGUUUCAGGCUUGAGUAUCUCCAGGCAGUGAAACCACCCACUACAGAAUUUCUUUAUGAAAGAUUGAUUCCAGUUUAUGUUAAAAAACUGCUUAUUGCAAACCUUUAUACUGCACAUUGGGACUUCUUUCAAAAUACGCUGGAGAGCUCUGAAUCCACGUGUGAUUUUACCCUCCUCAUUUUCUCCCUCAUUUCUAGACCUGCUACCUGAAGUAUGUGAAAAUCUUUUUUUCCUUUAUUUUAUUAAAUGGGAAAAUGGCUGACAAAAAACAGGGAUUCAUCUCCAUGAAACUAAUUUUAAGACCAUCUGCUGUCAAAAAUUUAUUUGGUGAGACAGAGUCUCUAAAGGUGGGAAGCUUCACCUGCCACUGAGGACACUGAGGAAGCUGGUGUGAUCCUGAGCCAUGGAGCCUUGCAGAGAGACGAGGUAUGUUAUGUCAGCCUGACAUCAUUCUACAUGCACAUGGCAUUAGCGACUCCAGAACACGGGCAAAGGAAGCUCACGUCUGCCUGGAAAAUCCUAAUUACUGAAGGUGUCCCCUCUGCUGCGUGACCUGAAAGGUCUGAAUUGUCACUGAGCUCAGUCAGCCCUGCGUGAUUUUUGCCAUUCUAAUAAUUUGAGACUGCAGAGUUCAGGAUCCAGCAGGUCCAUAAGGGGCUGGAGCGCCAUUUGCUGGCAGAAACAAGGGCAGAGCAAAGGCAGAGAGGUUGGGGAUGAGGAAGGAAUGGCGGAAAAAAGCACCUUGACCAGGUCUUCCCUCUCUUCACAGCAGUGAGAUGCUGGAGGCCACACUGCAGCCCAAUGGAAAAGGAAAUUUGGAGGUUUGGGAAUAGUGUUUAUACCUGAACAGAAGGAUUUAACGUUUCCAUUGGGUGAAAUUCCUUGGAACUGCUUUGUUUGAAAGCAUUCAAAUGUAUCUGAGGGCCUCAUCACAGACGUAAGGAAUAUUUGACCUUUUGGCAAUCUCUGGAAGAUGGCCUUGUCAAAGUUUAUACCUCAUGGAACAUCAGUUUCUUCAGCUGGAAUGUUUUGAACCCAUUGGAACACUUUGGUGCUUCAGUGUGUGUCGGUGUCAGCAAGAAAGCAAAACAGGCAUUGAAGCAUGUUUUUGGUGAGAUGUGUUGCCCACUUCAGUUUGCUUAUGGCCAUUGACAUCUGUCUUCUUCUGCACAUCUGGAUUUAAGAACAGCCUUAAUAAGAAAAGUGGAAUUGAUUUGGAAUUUGAAACAUCAGUCUUCCUAUGCAUGUUCAUCAGGUAUAACCAAUGGAAAUAGAAAUGCAAAGCAGACAUUUUUGCCAACUCAAAUUCUAAAGUAGGUCAGAGUCCUGUAGGGUGUACAUAUUUUAGUCUCCCUCAACCUCUCCCUUCCACCCCCCCUUGAACCUUUUAGAACCAACUUAGCUAUGGUAAAAUCUUGUUAAGAAACAAAUAAUAGGAAAAACUUCAGCUAGAUAUUAAAUCAGUGAUAUUUUACAAAAAUGAGCCCUUUUUUUCCAUUCAGUGCUGUUGGAAUUGCUGCUUUUACAACAUCUGUAUAGACACAGGACUUCCAGAUCUACUUAAGUAAACACUUUGCUUUUUUUAUUUCCACUAUACAUGUAAGGGGAUAAAUAGGUUACUAUUUGUGAGAUUCAUGAAAAGCUUCAGUUUAGAAGGCUCUUUUGUAUUAGAUGUCUUAAUCCAAUUUUCUUUAUUGGAUUGGUAAAUGAAAAUAAAUUCCCUUGAGCUCAAAUAAUAAAGGACUAAAAUAAACCUGGUGCACACACAACUCAAACUAAUAAUAAAGAACAAGCAGCAUCAGUUUUAAAAACUGAUUUGUCCUGAGCAGUGUUUCCAGGGGCCUGGAGUUCUGUCUGCUACACAGCUGCUGCCAGAGAGAUCUGAACUUGAAGAUGCUGUGUGGAAAUUUCCAAUCUCUUCAGUUUUACUUUAUUUUUGCUUGUUUGAGAUGUUCUCUCCCUUGCAGAAUUUUGAUUCCCCUGAGAUGUUCUUGAGAUGUGGAUCUAUCUCAUUCCUGGAAUGUGUCAAUAUCUUAAUAUGUCUUUCAAAACACUCUAGUUAUAGGUGGUGGUAGGUUUUGUUCGUUUGUUUUUUUUCCUUACAAAUUAGUUUUUUUCUUCUGGGACUUUAAGUUUCCUUGUUUUAA